rnacentral:misc_RNA from 1 species
CGCACAUUGCGCCCUUUGGCAUUCCGAAGGGCAUGCCCGUUCGAGCGUCAUUUCACCAAUCAAGCCUCGCUUGGUAUUGGGCGACGGGUUGAAUCACCCCCGCCUCUAUUUAUCCGGCUGGACGAUUCGAAUCUUAGCGUUGUGAUAAUCAAAUCGCUGAAGAGGACGAUCGGCCGCGCCGUUAAACCCCAUCAAAGGUUGACCUCGGAUCGGGUAGGGAUACCCGCUGAACUUAA